AGAGCUUGCUCUCUGAUUCAGCGGCGGACGGGUGAGUAAUGCCUAGGAAUCUGCCUGGUGUGGGGGACAACGUUUUCAAAGGAACGCUAAUACCGCAUACGUGCUACGGGAGAAAGCAGGGGACCUUCGGGCCUUGCGCUAUCAGAUGAGCCUAGGUCGGAUUAGCUAGUUGGUGAGGUAAUGGCUCACCAAGGCGACGAUCCGUAACUGGUCUGAGAGGAUGAUCAGUCACACUGGAACUGAGACACGGUCCAGACUCCUACGGGAGGCAGCAGUGGGGAAUAUUGGACAAUGGGCGAAAGCCUGAUCCAGCCAUGCCGCGUGUGUGAAGAAGGUCUUCGGAUUGUAAAGCACUUUAAGUUGGGAGGAAGGGCAGUAAGUUAAUACCUUGUUGUUUUGACGUUACCGACAGAAUAAGCACCGGCUAAGUCUGUGCCAGCAGCCGCGGUAAUACAGAGGGUGCAAGCGUUAAUCGGAAUUACUGGGCGUAAAGCGCGCGUA
rnacentral:rRNA from 1 species